AUCGGAAUCGGGGUAGCAGCUAACGCGUUAUACUAGCCGCCUGGGGAGUACGCUCGCAAGCCUGUAACUUAAAGGAAUUGGCGGGGACCCGCACAAGCAGUGGAGCACCUGGUCUAAUUCGACGGUGAUCGCUGAAUCUUACCAGGGUUUGAAUAUAGCUGUGGUUUCUAAGAUACUAGUUACGUCUACGAGUACGCUAUACAGGUGCUGCACGGCCGUUGUCAGCUCGUGCUGUGAAGUGUACCGUUAAGUCGGGUAACGAGCGCAACCCUUGUCCUAUGUUACAAGUGUCUUAGGAGUCUCCCGUGGUCAUACACGGAGGAUAGGAGGGGAUGACUUCUGGUCUUCAUAUCCCUUAUAACAUGGGCUACACACGCGCUACAAUGGUUGGUACAAAGGGCUGCUAACCUGUGAGGUGGAGCUAUCCCAUAAAACCAACCUCAGUUCGGAUUGAAGGCUGAACUCGCCUUCAUGAUGUUGGAUUGCUAGAAUCGUAGAUCAGACAUGCUACGG
rnacentral:rRNA from 1 species